AGCCAGACUCCUACGGGAGGCAGCAGUGAGGAAUAUUGGUCAAUGGUCGGGAGACUGAACCAGCCAAGCCGCGUGAGGGAUGAAGGUACAGAGUAUCGUAAACCUCUUUUGUCAGGGAACAAAGGCGGGGACGUGUCCCCGGAUGAGUGUACCUGAAGAAAAAGCAUCGGCUAACUCCGUGCCAGCAGCCGCGGUAAUACGGAGGAUGCGAGCGUUAUCCGGAUUUAUUGGGUUUAAAGGGUGCGCAGGCGGUCUGUUAAGCCGGGGUUCAAAGCCGGGGGCCCCCCCCCGGCGAGCCGUUGAAACUGGCAGUCUCGAGUUGGAGAGAAGUAUGCGGAAUGCGCGGUGUAGCGGUGAAAUGCAUAGAUAUCGCGCAGAACUCCGAUUGCGAAGGCAGCAUGCCGGCUCCACACUGACGCUGAGGCACGAAAGCGUGGGUAUCGAACAGGAUUAGAUACCCCCGUAU
rnacentral:rRNA from 1 species